GACAAUGAAAAAUUGCUGACAGAUAAAUUCCUCACCCUUCUUCCUUGUUAUCAACGCUCCCAAGACAUCGUGGUUCUAUAUGACCUCGCUGAAGAGAUUCCAUGACUGAGCAACUGACUCUGACUUUUGCGGGACUCUGGCCAGCUAAGUGCCUCCUUGGCUGAGUUUUCUCUUGAAGACACACUCCCACCACAACCUCACCACAGUGGUCAGUUCCCGGCACAGCCUUCGAAGGAGGUGAAAUCCUUACCUGGGAAAAUAAGCUUGAAGUCCGUGAAAUCCAGAGACCUGGCUCAUCUUUAUGGAGUUUCAGAUUAGCCUUGAAGAAGACUGGCAGCUUCUGUUUCCUGCCUCUUGGAUGCCAGCCACCGUGGAAGAAAUACAGCCACAUUGAGACCCUCAUACUGUGAGGAAAUGAGAAUCCAAUCACACGGACACCGGCUGGAAGGACGUGAGAGCCGCCAUGCGGAGACACCGUACUGAGAAGGAAGGCUGCCCGGCCAGCCCCCAGCU